UGCGGGGGAAGAGGCGGCCUCAGGUCUAGGCUCUUUGGGGAGGGGACGCUUUCGAGGAGAGUUUGGAAGCCGACUUCUGUCUGUUCUUAAUUUGGAGGGGUACCCACUCCAAGGAAAAGCUUUCCACGUUGACAGACAACUGCUGCGUUUUGAGACUCUUUCUUUGACUUGGUGUGUGCCCUCUUCCUGAUUCUGGAGAAAAAUGCCGGUCCGGAAGCAAGAUACCCAGAGAGCAUUGCACCUUUUGGAGGAAUAUCGUUCAAAACUAAGCCAAACUGAAGACAGACAGCUCAGAAGUUCCAUAGAACG
rnacentral:lncRNA from 1 species